UAGUUAUUAUUAUUUUUUUGUUUAAAUACCAUCCAUCCAUCUAUGUUAUAGUGACUGUAAAGGCUUGCUGUACAGUCCUGAAAGUUUACAGUCCUUAAACUGCCAAUUCAUAAUCUAUAAUUUGUUAGAAAAGAUAGCAUGUUAACUAAGCUAGCUAAGCUAGUUAUUGUCCAGUCUGAAGAUGCCAGGAUCUAGCCACAAACACUGCAUUUCAUGCCAGGCCAUGAUGGCCGUGGCACAGAAAAAAUGCCCCUCUUGUACGGUGUUACAACCAAUAAGCAACAAAAAAAAGAUAAAAUAAAAAAAAUAUUGGAGAAGCCCCCAUCGGCCCAGAAUGCAGGGAAAGUGCUGGACAAUGUCAUUGUUGAUUACCAAAGCCAGCUGUCUCCACCAUCAUUGCACCUGCUCCCAGCCUCCCUACUAGCUCCACCCCCACCCUCGUUACCCUCACCUCUACCACCCUCCCUACU